rnacentral:lncRNA from 1 species
CAUUUAUUUAUUCGACUGUCUAAUCAUUAUCACUCUAUUUACUUAAACCCUGUUUAGGACUAGAUCAAAGGGGAUAAUCAAAAGAAAAGCAUCACACUCAUCUUUUAUGCAUAAUCACACAACUCAUACAACUUUGUAAGGAAAGAUGUACUUCAAUAAUUCCAAAGAAAAACAAAUAUGCUUACUCUUGCUUUAUAAGAUAUUGCCUAGCCUAAAUCAAAAUUCAAUGCUUAAACACAAUAAAGAACCCAAAAGUGUAAUGUUGAUCCUAGAUAAGUCUCACACAAGUGCAAAUGCAUGUUCAUUUCUCCUAAUCUUUCACAUAAAAAUUUGGUUUGGAAGACAUGGAUAUGAUCACCAAUUAACUUGCAUGAAAGUGAACAAACCAGAAU